rnacentral:rRNA from 1 species
UACGUAGGGGGCAAGCGUUGUCCGGAUUUACUGGGCGUAAAGAGCGCGCAGGCGGUCGGUCAAGUCGGGUGUGAAAGCCCCCGGCUCAACUGGGGAGGGUCAUUCGAUACUGAUGGACUCGAAGGCAGGAGAGGGUAGUGGAAUUCCCGGUGUAGUGGUGAAAUGCGUAGAUAUCGGGAGGAACACCAGUGGCGAAGGCGACUACCUGGCCUGUUCUUGACGCUGAGGCGCGAAAGCUAGGGGAGCAAACGGG